rnacentral:lncRNA from 1 species
UUAACUAACAUAUACACAUGCGUUUCUUUCUUCUAAGCGCACCCUUCUUCUUUUUUCUCUCUCAAUUCACGUUGCUUCAUGUUAAAUUGAACAUCAGCUUCACUUUUCAUGAAGUGGCCCCACUCAGAACAAAUAAAAAGUCUCUCUCUUACUAGCCAUUAAUGUCCCAGUUCCCACCAAUUCACAAAUUACUAAUCCAUGCAUCAUUAUUUCCAUGCUUUUACGUAGCCAAUAUAAGUUUCUUCUUAUUCACUCAUGCUUUUACAAUAAAAUGAUAUAUAAAGCAUAAUAAAACCAAAAGAAAC